rnacentral:rRNA from 1 species
UACAGAGGGGGCAAGCGUUAUUCGGAAUUAUUGGGCGUAAAGGGCGCGUAGGCGGCCUGGCAAGUGGAAGGUGAAAUCCCUCGGCUUAACCGAGGAACUGCCUCCCAAACUGCUUGGCUUGAGACCGGGAGAGGUGAGUGGAAUUCCCAGUGUAGCGGUGAAAUGCGUAGAGAUCGGGAGGAACACCAGAGGCGAAGGCGGCGACCUGGACAGUUACUGACACUCAACUACGAAAGCGUGGGGAGCAAACAGG